AAUUGCUAGUAAUGGCAGGUCAGCAUACUGCCGUGAAUACGUUCCCGGGCCUUGUACACACCGCCCGUCACACCAUGAGAGUUGGGAAUAUCCGAAGCCUGUGAGCUAACUUUUAAGAGGCAGCAGUCGAAGGUAGAAUCAAUGAUUGGGGUGAAGUCGUAACAAGGUAUC
rnacentral:rRNA from 1 species